CUGCCAGAUGCCUCAGGAAAUCUGCCGGAUGCCAGGCUGUCCACGUAAAGGAGCCAGGCUCUAUAUGCAGUACGCUGCCAGCCCCUCAGGAGCCAUGCUGCCCAUUGCCAUGUACUAUGGAAAUCCAUAUAUAUAACCACAACCUGACUCAGUAUGAUGGGAUCAUCCCACAAGAUUGAAGGAAGGAACCAAGACUGGGGAGAACAGCCUGUCUUGCUGCCUUUACAUGAGGAAAGGUUCCCCCUGGCUGAUACAAGCGCCACUGGACAUUAUAACAACAACAGAACUGAAGCAUGAAAACCUAACUGAAACCCCAGCGAGGCCUUGAAAUCUACUCCAGAAGGAGCCUUCCAACAAUGCUGCUGAGAAAGAGUCCCCAGUACUGCAGCUGUGACUAGCACCACACUAAGGCGAGCACAACCAGACUUGAGAGCAGCUCCAAUCGUUUUAGAGCCAGAAGGUGACAGGAAGGGUGAAAUAACCCUGCCAGAGGUAACCCAAGCCCGAAGUCUAGCAAGCUCCGUGACAGGCUCGUAGAUCAAGCCAGGAAUUCUUGGUCUGUAUUCAGAGCUCUAGACAGUAUCACCCAUUCCCCUCAUCCUACAGUAUAACCCCUGGACUUUAGCCUUCUCUUGGAAGAGCAGGGAAAAAGGAAGGAAGUUAAUGCUGGUUCCCUAAAUGAACACCCCAAAUAACUGCACUUGUUACCCAGCUCUGCCUCCUCCCUUGUGUUUACCCUGACACCCUAAACCCAAAGAAGCUUUAACCAUAUGAAUAAGGACACAGUCCAGCAACAAGCAUCAAUUCCCCCCAUUUUACAAGUGUAGGGGACUUGCUUGGCCUCACCUACACCCUUGGCUCCUCUGCAGACUGGAGUGAGGAGUCUGGCCCUUGUGUGUUACGCUUCAUGGACACAAUCACGCUUGGCUCACUUCUCUGAUAAUCAGAAAUCACAGACAUUCUCUUGAGGGGAAAACCCCCCAGCUAAUUACCUGCUGCACACAAGCCCAUUUUUAUCUGCAAUAAUAUUCCCAUCUUACAAAUGUGCUUGUUUAUGGGAAAACUUUUAAGAGGUUUGACAAUAAAACAGCUCCAGGAGUUGAAUGUUGGUAUACA
rnacentral:lncRNA from 1 species